rnacentral:rRNA from 1 species
GCGCGAAAACUUUACACUGCGGGAAACCGCGAUAAGGGGACCCCGAGUGCCAGCACCUAGUGCUGGCUGUCCAGCUGUUCAAAAAACAGUUGUUAGCAAGGGCCGGGCAAGACCGGUGCCAGCCGCCGCGGUAACACCGGCGGCUCGAGUGGUAACCGUUAUUAUUGGGUCUAAAGGGUCUGUAGCCGGCCGGAUAAGUCUCUUGGGAAAUCCAGCAGCUUAACUGUUGGGCUUUCAGGAGAUACUGUCUGGCUCGAGGCCGGGAGAGGUGAGAGGUACUUCAGGGGUAGGGGUGAAAUCUUGUAAUCCUUGAAGGACCACCAGUGGCGAAGGCGUCUCACCAGAACGGACCUGACGGCAAGGGACGAAAGCUAGGGGCACGAACCGGAUUAGAUACCCGGGUAGUCCUAGCCGUAAACGAUACUCGCUAGGUGUCGGCCACGGUGCGACCGUUGUCGGUGCCGUAGGGAAGCCGUGAAGCGAGUCACCUGGGAAGUACGGCCGCAAGGCUGAAACUUAAAGGAAUUGGCGGGGAGCGACCACAACGGGUGAGCUU